rnacentral:lncRNA from 1 species
GGCUGACAUCUGUUAUCUCCUGUGUGGGAUGUAUGUGGGUCCGGAGCUCCGUCAUUAAACUACCUCUUGUAAUUACAUCAAGGCCUUUUCGUGAUUCUUUAGGUGCCUGCCAAAUCGGGAAUUGAGUGGGGGUUUCCCUGCUAGGUUCUAUCAUUUGGAGGUCCCACUGAGAUCUGCGUGACACCCAGGAACCCGGAAAGACCCCUUGGAGGCGACCCCUCCCUGAGAUGCUGGCAGUGAGUCUGUUCCAAGCUCCAGUGAGGGAGGCAUCCGCCCACUUGGGGCUUCUGUCCAAGGAGGGCAAUAUGAAUAAGUUGAAGCCUCCAAGGGGACAAAGGAGAAAGGUUCUUGUGUGACAGGAAGUCCUUGAACCAGUGUGGUGAGAGAAUGAAGAAAAGGUGACCAAAUGUGAGCAUACAAGGCCUCCCGGGUCUAUAGAGAGGCUGCUGUUAGUGUGGGUUGUUCUGACUCUCCCUGACACGGUUUGGAUCCAGAACCCAGCCGACUUCCUAAUAUACCGGUUUUUUGAAUAAAGAAACUUUUGUUGGCUCGAA